rnacentral:rRNA from 1 species
AACGAACGCUGGCGGCAUGCCUGACACAUGCAAGUCGAACGAGACCUUCGGGUCUAGUGGCGCACGGGUGCGUAACGCGUGGGAACCUGCCUUUAGGUUCGGAAUAACUCCCCGAAAGGGGUGCUAAUACCGGAUAAUGUCUUCGGACCAAAGAUUUAUCGCCUUUAGAUGGGCCCGCGUAGGAUUAGCUAGUUGGUGGGGUAAAGGCCUACCAAGGCGACGAUCCUUAGCUGGUCUGAGAGGAUGAUCAGCCACACUGGGACUGAGACACGGCCCAGACUCCUACGGGAGGCAGCAGUGGGGAAUGUUGGACAAUGGGCGAAAGCCUGAUCCAGCAAUGCCGCGUGAGUGAUGAAGGCCUUAGGGUUGUAAAGCUCUUUUACCAGGGAUGAUAAUGACAGUACCUGGAGAAUAAGCUCCGGCUAACUCCGUGCCAGCCGCCGCAGUAAAAC